rnacentral:snRNA from 1 species
AUAUAACUUAAAAGCAUUUAU